GUAGCUCAGUUGGUAGAGCAGUGGUCUCCAAAACCACCGGUCGAGGGUUCGAAUCCUUCC
rnacentral:tRNA from 1 species